CUCUCGGCCAUCUUACCUAUGACUUUCAUCAACCGAUGACUAUUCUCAACAAACCACAAAGAUAUUGGUACCCUAUACUUAAUUUUCGGCGCCUGAGCCGGCAUGAUUGGUACUGCCCUAAGUCUCCUUAUCCGAGCAGAACUUGGACAACCAGGAACCCUUCUAGGAGACGACCAAAUCUAUAAUGUAAUUGUUACCGCCCAUGCUUUUGUAAUAAUCUUCUUUAUAGUAAUACCUAUUAUAAUUGGAGGAUUUGGCAACUGACUAGUCCCCCUAAUAAUUGGUGCCCCCGAUAUAGCAUUCCCACGCAUGAACAACAUAAGUUUCUGACUUCUUCCCCCAUCAUUCCUUCUCCUCCUAGCCUCAUCUACAAUUGAAGCCGGAGUAGGAACUGGAUGAACCGUAUACCCACCAUUAGCUGGCAAUCUAGCACAUGCUGGAGCUUCAGUAGACCUGGCCAUCUUCUCACUUCAUCUUGCAGGCAUUUCCUCAAUCCUAGGUGCCAUCAACUUCAUUACCACUGCAAUUAACAUGAAACCACCAGCCCUAUCACAAUAUCAAACCCCCUUGUUCGUAUGAUCUGUCCUAAUCACCGCAGUUCUUCUCCUCCUCUCUCUACCAGUUCUCGCUGCCGGUAUCACCAUACUCCUGACAGACCGCAAUCUCAACACUACAUUCUUUGACCCCGCAGGAGGUGGAGAUCCAGUUCUAUACCAACACCUCUUCUGAUUUUUUGGUCAUCCAGAAGUCUACAUUCUUAUCCUACCAGGAUUUGGUAUUAUCUCACACGUUGUAGCCUACUAUGCUGGCAAAAAAGAACCAUUCGGCUAUAUAGGAAUAGUCUGAGCCAUACUAUCCAUCGGCUUCUUAGGCUUUAUCGUAUGAGCUCAUCAUAUAUUCACAGUAGGAAUAGACGUAGAUACCCGAGCAUAUUUUACAUCUGCCACAAUAAUUAUUGCAAUUCCCACUGGCAUUAAAGUCUUUAGCUGAUUAGCUACCCUACACGGAGGUACUAUUAAAUGAGAACCACCUAUACUAUGAGCCCUAGGAUUCAUUUUCCUAUUCACUAUUGGAGGACUUACAGGCAUUGUCCUAGCUAACUCUUCCCUAGACAUCGCCCUCCAUGAUACCUAUUAUGUAGUAGCACAUUUCCAUUACGUCUUAUCUAUAGGUGCCGUAUUUGCAAUCCUAGCAGGAUUCACACACUGAUUCCCACUCUUUACAGGAUACACUCUCCACCCAACAUGAGCUAAAGCACACUUUGGUGUAAUAUUUACAGGAGUAAACCUAACCUUCUUCCCCCAACAUUUCCUAGGCCUAGCUGGCAUGCCACGACGAUACUCAGACUACCCAGACGCCUAUACUCUAUGAAACACUUUAUCUUCCAUUGGUUCACUCAUCUCUAUAAUCGCUGUAAUUAUACUUAUAUUCAUUAUCUGAGAAGCCUUUGCAUCUAAACGAAAAGUCCUACAACCCGAACUUAUUACAACCAACAUCGAAUGAAUUCAUGGCUGCCCGCCCCCAUAUCACACCUUCGAGGAACCAGCCUUUGUCCAAAUCCAAGAAAGGAAGGAAUCGAACCCUCACAAGCUGGUUUCAAGCCAACCGCAUUAAGCCACUCAUGCUUCUUUCUUAUGGGCUGUUAGUAAAACAAUUACAUAGUCUUGUCAUGACUAAAUUACAGGUGAAAUUCCAGUACACCCCACCUCCUUCCAAUGGCUAACCACUCUCAAUUCGGUUUCCAAGACGCCUCAUCCCCUAUCAUAGAAGAACUAAUUGAAUUUCAUGACCACGCUUUAAUAGUUGCCCUAGCAAUCUGUAGCUUAGUACUUUAUCUCCUAUCCCUCAUACUUAAAGAAAAACUUUCCUCAAAUACUGUUGACGCACAAGAAGUAGAACUAGUUUGAACUAUCCUCCCUGCAAUCGUUUUAAUCAUACUAGCUCUCCCCUCUCUCCAAAUUCUCUACAUAAUAGACGAAAUUGACGAGCCUGACCUCACCCUUAAAGCCAUUGGUCAUCAAUGGUACUGAACCUAUGAAUACACAGAUUUCAAAGACUUAACCUUCGAUUCAUAUAUACUCCCCACAUCAGAACUCCCACUAGGCCACUUCCGAUUACUAGAAGUCGACCACCGUAUUGUUAUUCCCAUAGAAUCUCCUAUUCGAGUCAUUGUCACCGCCGAUGAUGUUCUGCACUCCUGAGCUGUCCCUAGCCUUGGUGUAAAAACUGAUGCUAUCCCAGGACGACUCAACCAAACAUCCUUCAUUACCACUCGACCUGGAAUCUUUUAUGGCCAAUGCUCAGAAAUUUGUGGAGCCAACCACAGUUUUAUACCUAUCGUAGUCGAAUCAGCCCCUCUCACCCACUUUGAAAGCUGAUCCUCUCUUCUAUCAUCCUAAGCAUUAAGAAGCUAUGAACCAGCACUAGCCUUUUAAGCUAGAGAAAGAGGAUCUCUAACCCCUCCUUAAUGAUAUGCCUCAACUAAACCCAGCACCAUGAUUUUUUAUCCUACUAACUUCAUGAUUAACCUUCACCUUCAUUUUACAACCCAAAAUCCUACUAUUUACUCCCACAAACCCCCCUUCAAAUAAAACCCUUUCCACUAUAAAAGCCUCCCCCUGAAACUGACCAUGAACAUAAGCUUCUUCGAUCAAUUUAUAAGUCCAUCUCUUCUAGGAAUCCCACUAAUCCUCAUUUCACUCCUAUUCCCAACACUCCUAUUCCCCUCACCUGACAACCGGUGAAUCACAAACCGUAUCUCCACCCUUCAACUCUGGUUUUUUCAACUAAUUACAAAGCAACUCAUAACCCCAUUGAACAAGAAAGGACACAAAUGAGCCCUAAUUUUACUUUCCCUCAUAAUCCUCUUACUGACAAUCAACCUCCUAGGACUUCUACCAUAUACAUUCACUCCCACCACUCAACUAUCAAUAAAUCUUGCCCUAGCUUUCCCUCUAUGACUUGCUACUCUGCUUACAGGGCUACGGAACCAACCCUCAAUUGCACUAGGCCAUCUCCUACCAGAAGGUACCCCAACAGCCCUAAUUCCUGCUCUUAUUUUAAUCGAAACUACCAGCUUACUCAUCCGCCCUUUAGCCCUAGGAGUCCGCCUAACAGCCAACCUCACAGCCGGACACCUACUUAUCCAACUUAUCUCAACCGCCUCCACUGUCCUCCUACCCAUUAUACCAACAGUAUCUUUACUAACCACAAUUAUCCUCCUACUACUUACCAUUCUAGAAGUAGCAGUUGCUAUAAUCCAAGCCUAUGUUUUUGUCCUCCUAUUAAGUCUUUACCUACAAGAAAAUAUCUAACCCCAAUGACCCACCAAGCACACUCAUUCCACAUAGUUGAUCCAAGCCCUUGACCCAUUUUCGGAGCAGCAGCCGCCCUCCUCACCACCUCAGGGCUAGCUAUAUGAUUCCACCAUAACUCCACUCAACUACUAACACUAGGUUUGCUAACAAUAAUCCUUGUUAUAAUCCAAUGAUGACGUGACAUUGUACGAGAAAGUACAUUCCAAGGUCAUCAUACACCUACUGUCCAAAAAGGUCUACGCUAUGGCAUAAUCUUAUUUAUUACAUCUGAAGCCUUCUUCUUCCUAGGCUUUUUCUGAGCAUUCUUCCAUUCAAGCCUAGUUCCCACCCCAGAACUCGGAGGUCAAUGACCCCCCAUAGGGAUUAAACCCCUCAACCCUAUAGAAGUACCUCUACUGAACACAGCAAUCUUACUAGCCUCCGGUGUUACCGUCACAUGAGCACAUCACAGUAUCACAGAGGGUAAUCGAACUCAAGCCACCCAAGCCCUAUUCAUAACCAUCCUUCUAGGAUUCUACUUUACAGCACUUCAAGCAACAGAAUAUUAUGAAGCUCCUUUCUCAAUCGCUGACGGAGUUUACGGAUCAACCUUCUUCGUAGCUACAGGAUUCCAUGGACUCCACGUAAUUAUUGGCUCCUCCUUCCUAUUAAUUUGUUUCCUCCGACUUAUUAAAUUCCACUUCACACCCAACCACCACUUCGGUUUUGAAGCGGCAGCUUGAUACUGACAUUUUGUUGAUGUCAUCUGACUAUUCCUCUACAUAACUAUCUACUGAUGAGGAUCAU